AUUGAACGCUGGCGGCAGGCUUAACACAUGCAAGUCGAGCGGAGUGAUGGUGCUUGCACUAUCACUUAGCGGCGGACGGGUGAGUAAUGCUUAGGAAUCUGCCUAUUAGUGGGGGACAACAUCUCGAAAGGGAUGCUAAUACCGCAUACGUCCUACGAGAGAAAGCAGGGGAUCACUUGUGACCUUGCGCUAAUAGAUGAGCCUAAGUCGGAUUAGCUAGUUGGUGGGGUAAAGGCCUACCAAGGCGACGAUCUGUAGCGGGUCUGAGAGGAUGAUCCGCCACACUGGGACUGAGACACGGCCCAGACUCCUACGGGAGGCAGCAGUGGGGAAUAUUGGACAAUGGGGGGAACCCUGAUCCAGCCAUGCCGCGUGUGUGAAGAAGGCCUUAUGGUUGUAAAGCACUUUAAGCGAGGAGGAGGCUCUGUUGGUUAAUACCCAAGAUGAGUGGACGUUACUCGCAGAAUAAGCACCGGCUAACUCUGUGCCAGCCGCCGCAGUAA
rnacentral:rRNA from 1 species